rnacentral:rRNA from 1 species
AGAGUUUGAUCAUGGCUCAGAACGAACGCUGGCGGCGUGGAUAAGACAUGCAAGUCGCACGGAGUGCCUUCGGGCACUGAGUGGCGCACGGGUGAGUAACACGUGAGUAACCUGCCCCUGAGACAGGGAUAGCCCCGGGAAACUGGGAUUAAUACCUGAUGGUCUCGCAAGAGUAAAGCAGCAAUGCGCUCAGGGAGGGGCUCGCGUCCUAUUAGUUAGUUGGCGGGGUAACGGCCCACCAAGGCGAUGACGGGUAGCCGGUCUGAGAGGAUGUCCGGCCACACUGGAACUGAGACACGGUCCAGACACCUACGGGUGGCAGCAGUCGAGAAUCAUUCACAAUGGGCGAAAGCCUGAUGGUGCGACGCCGCGUGGGGGAGGAAGGUCUUCGGAUUGUAAACCCCUGUCAUGUGGGAGCAAGACUUCGGUUUGAUAGUACCACAAGAGGAAGAGACGGCAAACUCUGUGCCAGCAGCCGCGGUAAUACAGAGGUCUCAAGCGUUGUUCGGAAUCACUGGGCGUAAAGGGUACGUAGGCGGCAUCAUAAGUCGUGCGUGAAAGGCAGGGGCUCAACCUCUGGAGUGCGCGUGAUACUGUGAUGCUGGAGUAAUGGAGGGGGAACCGGAAUUCUUGGUGUAGCAGUGAAAUGCGUAGAUAUCAAGAAGAAGACUCGUGGCGAAGGCGGGUUCCUGGACAUUUACUGACGCUGAGGUACGAAGGCCAGGGUAGCGAAAGGGAUUAGAUACCCCUGUAGUCCUGGCAGUAAACGGUGCACGUUUGGUGUGCGGAGAUUCGACCCUCUGCGUGCCGGAGUUAACACGUUAAACGUGCCGCCUGGGGAGUACGGUCGCAAGAUUAAAACUCAAAGAAAUUGACGGGGACCCGCACAAGCGGUGGAGUAUGUGGCUUAAUUCGAUGCAACGCGAAGAACCUUACCAAGGCUUGACAUCCCGUGACCGUCUGUGAAAGCAGAUUUUCUAUUCGUAGACACGGAGACAGGUGCUGCAUGGCCGUCGUCAGCUCGUGUCGUGAGAUGUUUGGUUAAGUCCAGCAACGAGCGCAACCCCUGCUGCCAGUUACCAUCAUUAAGUUGGGGACUCUGGCGGGACUGCCCAGAUCAACUGGGAGGAAGGUGGGGACGACGUCAGGUCAGUAUGGCCCUUAUGCCUUGGGCUGCACACG